ACAGUACAAUCUGACAGGAGAUAGAUUUAAAAUCUAUUCCGGGCUGUAUACAGCAGCAGAUGAAUUUUGAAAUUUCAAACAUCUGUGGGACAGAA
rnacentral:ncRNA from 1 species